UGCUUGUUAGUGCGAAAAUAACAUCCCGAACAUCUCCCGAAUGUGUUGGCAGUGGCACCCCACUUGCAUUAUUUACUUUAAAUUAAUUAAUUUCUCUUUAAAAAAAUAAUAAAAAUCCAGUUCUCUCUUCUCUCUCAUCCUUUCAUCUCCAACCUAAACAACAACCUUCUUCUCUCUACAAUUUGCUAAGGUUCUUCUCCCAAACUUCUUUCUCAACUUCUUUGUUGGUUCAACCCCUCUCUCUUCCAUUUAUUUUUCUCUCAAACUCAUAUACCUAAGUCUUUUUCUAUUAUCUUGCCAAGGGUAUCCGCGGAGAUGAUUGAGAAAUUGGUUGCCAUGGAAGAGAUGAUGGUGUUUUUUUUUUUUUUCUUUCUUUUAAUUGGUUGCCAUGAAAAAUGAUGGUGUGUUGUUGUUGAUCAUUCGUUCGGGAGUUAAUUGGCAGUCCUCUUUUGAUUUUUAAUAAAUAUAGUAGCGUUUUUUUUUUGUUUUUUUUUUUUCACGAAAUUCGGGACAAAAGUGUUCGGGAGAUAUAGCACUGCUC